rnacentral:rRNA from 1 species
UGAGUUGCAGGGGGUGGAGGGGUGCUUACCAAUUGGAGAAGGGAGAUAGGUGAAUAAGGAACUAAUAGAUGUGAAGAGGUGUAGUGUGUCGGUUUGAACACCUUUUCCCCCCGUUGUGUUGAAAUAGAGGAACGUCUGGAGGGAUUUUUUUUUAGAGUGACGCCCGGCGGUGGUGUUUAGGAGUUAGCUAGAGUGGACUAGGUGGCGGCGGCGGUGUUUAGGAGGUAGCAAGAGUGGACUAAAGGGACGUGGCGGCAACCGAACCGCGUGUAGAUCCAAAGGGGUGAACUAGGAACCCAUACUGCCAAGGGAGGGGGCCGUACAUCUGGUGCCGACCUGUUCUUUAACAGUGCCACGACGACCGGUACAGGUGGCGGCCGUGGUAGCGCGAGAGGGACCUUCGGGGCGAGGGGCGCGAGGUAAAACUAUCAGUGGCGUCCCUUGCUGAUGUUCUCUUUCUGCGUGUUCCACAGGCUCUACGCGGCCCCUACCCCUUCCAGUACGCAGCGACGCGGCCCUCCGUCGUAGAUGAGGCGAUCUUCUUACGAUUCGUUUCUUAAACCUAGUCUACAGUUAUCGCGUCCCCGUCCCCCCGAUGAGCUACCCGGUUUUUUCGGCUCCAAACCAACGUCAAGGGUCUACGUGUCGUCACCACGCCGCUGAGGGUAUACGUGUUGCCACCGCGCUACUGACGCUCUACAUGUCUUCACCAUCACUACUGUAAUGCGCCACUGACACCUGACACUGCAGUUUCCUGUUUUGUACCAAGUCUAAGUAUUCUAUAAAACUGCUACGUACCGAAUCUGCAACUAACGUACCAGGUCUUACCACGACGUACUAUCAGAAUAGUAGACUAACGUUCCAGCUCUUACCACAACAACGACCUAUCAAAAUAGUAGACUAACGUUCCAGCUCUUACCACAACGACGAUAUAUCAGAAUAGUAGACUAACGUUCCAGCUCUUACCACAACGACAACCUAUUAGAAUACAAUACAAAAUCCUAUAGUAAAGGUCACAGUUACAAAGUUUUGAAGAUUAAAGCUUAUCAACUCUUUUACUAACUUUCCAGGUCUUAACCCGAUCAUAACAUUAGAAACCUAGUACAAGAAACAUUACGUUGUCUCCUUUAAUUUAUAUAAUCUGGAAAG